rnacentral:rRNA from 1 species
AUUGAACGCUGGCGGCAUGCUUUACACAUGCAAGUCGAACGGCAGCGCGGGGCAACCUGGCGGCGAGUGGCGAACGGGUGAGUAAUACAUCGGAACGUACCCAGAAGUGGGGGAUAACGUAGCGAAAGUUACGCUAAUACCGCAUACGUUCUACGGAAGAAAGUGGGGGAUCGCAAGACCUCAUGCUUUUGGAGCGGCCGAUGUCUGAUUAGCUAGUUGGUAGGGUAAAGGCCUACCAAGGCGACGAUCAGUAGCUGGUCUGAGAGGACGACCAGCCACACUGGGACUGAGACACGGCCCAGACUCCUACGGGAGGCAGCAGUGGGGAAUUUUGGACAAUGGGCGCAAGCCUGAUCCUGCAAUGCCGCGUGAGUGAAGAAGGCCUUCGGGUUGUAAAGCUCUUUUGUCAGGGAAGAAACGGCUGGGGCUAAUAUCCUCGGCUAAUGACGGUACCUGAAGAAUAAGCACCGGCUAACUACGUGCCAGCAGCCGCCGUAA